AACAGGAUUCCUUUAGUAAUGGCGAAUGAAGAAGGAGUAGCUCAACAUGAAAAUCUGGGCAUCUGGCCUUGAAUUGUAGUUUGAAGAUGCAUUUGCCAAUGGACAUGAUAAUGAAAGCCUUUUGGGAAAAAGCAUCAACGAGGGUGAGAAUCCUUCUUGACAUUUCAAUUGUCCAUGUACGGUGUGCAUUGAAGAUUCACGUUCCUUGGGAUUUGAACGCAAACUUGUUGGUAAAUUUCAUUUAAAGCUAAAUAUUGGUUUGAGACCGAUAGAAAACAAGUACCAUGAGGGAAAAGUGAAAAGGACUUUGAAAAGAAAGUUAAAAGUGCUUGAAAUUGCUGAAGAGGAAGCGGGUGUAUUUCGCACGCAAUUCUCAAGAUUGUUGCGCAUAUCUCUGAUACCUUGUUGUCUUGAUUUAAUUGCAGCAAUAAGUUAUAUUUGUGAAUGCGCAAUGUUGCUUGUGUUUUGUGCCUUCAUCGAUUCACAGCCAUAGAAACAAUCUAAACAUGAAUCUUUGCUCUUGUGCAAAAGAACAUUUAGGUUCAGAUUUAGCUUGUGGAUCGCUCUUAAUAUUGUUGAUUGCUUAAUCGUCCUUGCGCCUUGCGUGCGGGAUGAUUUCACGACAUGAAAAUGAUGGCCAAAGAAAUACAUUCGACCCGUCUUGAAACACGGACCAAGGAGUUUAACACAUGUGCAAGUUUGGGGUGUGAUGCUUCUUUGCGUAAUGAAAAUGAUAUUUGGUAUAUUCUUGCACCAAUAACCAACCGCUCAAUUGUGAGAGGUUUGAGUACGAGCAUAUUUGUUAAGACCCGAAAGAUGGUGAACUAUGCCUGGGAAGGGUAAAUUCAGGGGAAACUCUGAUGGAGGCUCGUAGCGAUACUGACGUGCAAAUCGUUCGUCAUACUUGGGUAUAGGGGCGAAAGACUAAUCGAACCAUCUAGUAGCUGGUUCCUUCUGAAGUUUCCCUCAGGAUAGCUGGAAUUACACAGUUUCAUCACGUAAAGCGAAUGAUUAGAGGAAUUGGGGGCGUGUUGUCCUUGACCUAUUCUCAAACUUUAAAUGGGU
rnacentral:rRNA from 1 species